rnacentral:rRNA from 1 species
GAUGAACGCUGGCGGCGUGCCUAAUACAUGCAAGUCGAGCGGACAGACGAGGAGCUUGCUCCUCUGACGUUAGCGGCGGACGGGUGAGUAACACGUAGAUAACCUACCUAUAAGACUGGGGUAACUUCGUGAAACCGGAUCCACUACCGGAUCAUAUAUUGAACCGCAUGGUUCAAUAGUGAAAGACGGUUUUGCUGUCUCUUAUAGAUGGUUCCGCGUCGCAUUAGCUAGUUGGUAAGGUAACGGCUUACCAAGGCGACGAUGCGUAGCCGACCUGAGAGGGUGAUCGGCCACACUGGAACUGAGACACGGUCCAGACUCCUACGGGAGGCAGCAGUAGGGAAUAUUCCGCAAUGGGCGAAAGCCUGACGGAGCAACGCCGCGUGAGUGAUGAAGGUCUUCGGAUCGUAAAACUCUGUUAUUAGGGAAGAACAGAAGUGUAAGUAACUAUGCACGUCUUGACGGUACCUAAUCAGAAAGCCACGGCUAACUACGUG